rnacentral:rRNA from 1 species
UGGCGAACGGGUGAGUAACACGUGGGCAACCUGCCCAAAAGAGGGGGAUAACACUUGGAAACAGGUGCUAAUACCGCAUAACCAUAGUUACCGCAUGGUAACUAUGUAAAAGGUGGCUAUACUACCGCUUUUGGAUGGGCCCGCGGCGCAUUAGCUAGUUGGUAGGGUAAAGGCUUACCAAGGCAAUGAUGCAUAGCCGAAUUGAGAGGUUGAUCGGCCACAUUGGGACUGAGACACGGCCCAAACUCCUACGGAAGGCAGCAG